UACGAAGGGGGCUAGCGUUGUUCGGAAUCACUGGGCGUAAAGGGCGCGUAGGCGGCCGUUCAAGUCGGGGGUGAAAGCCUGUGGCUCAACCACAGAAUUGCCUUUGAUACUGUUUGGCUAGAGACCGGAAGAGGUAAGUGGAACUGCGAGUGUAGAGGUGAAAUUCGUAGAUAUUCGCAAGAACACCAGUGGCGAAGGCGGCUUACUGGUCCGGUUCUGACGCUGAGGCGCGAAAGCGUGGGGAGCAAACAGG
rnacentral:rRNA from 1 species